AGGUUUAGGGUUAGGGUUAGGGUUAGGGUUAGGUUAGGGUUAGGGUUAGGUUAGGUUAGAGAGGGUUAGAGUUAGGUUAUAUAGAUAAAUGCGAAGAGUGGUCACUUAUGAAGUGGUCGACCCCCCCAUAUCUCGUGACCCGUACGUGCUAGAGUGCUCAAACUUGGUUUAUUAUACUCCUUGGGGCCCCCCCAGUCGAUUGCCCUUGGUUUCGUUGCUCUAGCGCCACCAGGUGCUGAGAUAUGGUAUUGAUCGUUCAAUUCUGUUGUACCUAGAGAGCUGAAAUUUGGUGUGUAUACUAAUUGGAUGAUGCCUACUCCACCAGGUGCCGAGAUAUAGCACUGAUCACUUACUUGAGUUUCGCAGUUCUAGGGCUAGGGUUGAGUUUCGCUGUUCCAGCCCUAGGGUUGAGUUUCAGUGUGCUAGGGCUAGUGUUCAGUUUCUCUAUACAGCUGGUCAGCCCUAGGGUUGAGUUUCUCUAUACAGCUGUUUUUUUUUGUUGUUUUUUUUUGGAGGCAGUGUAUUUAUAUGUGUAGGUUGGACUUAAUGUUUUGUGUUGGGUGUGUUGGUUAGG
ensembl:lncRNA